GCAGGGCAACAGAGUCACCGCUUCUGCCAAGCUUUCUGGUGAAACACAAGCUUGGCAGAAGGGAUGACUCUGUUGCCCCCU
ensembl:miRNA aca-mir-5425 aca-mir-5425